CACACAGGCUUAGAGUGGGUCUUCCACAUCAGUGAAGCCCAUUAGGGCAAUUCCUCAGGCAGCUUUCAAAGCCUAGGGUAACUGACUUCGGUCUCUCCCAUCAUCUGAAAAGAUCCACGUCUCUCAACUCUCACCCUGUGAUCUCAGUACAGGAUAUUCACAUUGUUAAAGGAAAAAUAAAUACAGAAAAACCCAAAUCACAGCUUCAAACCAACCACAGAGACACUUGGUGUGUGUUUGGACAACAUGUGGAGUCUGAAAUAGAGCUGGCAGCUCAAAGCUGAGAGAAAUGAGCUAGAGGCAAAGGAUGUAGUGCAGUUGGUAAGAUACCCCAAGUCCUGGGCUCAGUCCUUAGCAACUCAUGUUGGGUGUGCUGGUACAUGCCUAUAAUCCUAACCCUGGGGCUGCAGAGGUAG